AUGAGGACGAGGGUGUUCUCUCUAGGCUUCAUAAAGUAUUGUGGUAUGUGGUACCUUCAGAAAAGGAAGCAAAUGAGACAUCAAUUGUUGUUCAAUGUUCGUCAUACGAGUUCAAGAAAGGAAUUUGUGUCACUAGUAGGAACUAGUUGUAGUACUGACAAGGACUGGGAUGGCUGUCCGCUAGGGGUUUUGAAGGAGGCCCAAUACCGUCCGAUGCUCUCUCCAUUGACCCACACCUCACCCUUGCCCAUACUACUGAGGUUCAGCGUGACUGGGUCAUUCCCCCAUGGUGUGUCAAAUGUCGUCUGCACCAAACGACAACAAUUUCCCGAAGCUGUCGGUUACUAUCACUGUGGAAUGAACAUGUAA
rnacentral:rRNA from 1 species